AUUGAACGCUGGCGGCAGGCCUAACACAUGCAAGUCGAGCGGAUGAUGGGAGCUUGCUCCUGGAUUCAGCGGCGGACGGGUGAGUAAUGCCUAGGAAUCUGCCUGGUAGUGGGGGACAACGUUUCGAAAGGAACGCUAAUACCGCAUACGUCCCACGGGAGAAAGCAGGGGACCUUCGGGCCUUGCGCUACCCGAUGAGCAUAGGUCGGAUUAGCUUGUUGGUGAGGUAAUGGCUCACCAAGGCGACGAUCCGUAACUGGUCUGAGAGGAUGAUCAGUCACACUGGAACUGAGACACGGUCCAGACUCCUACGGGAGGCAGCAGUGGGGAAUAUUGGACAAUGGGCGAAAGCCUGAUCCAGCCAUGCCGCGUGUGUGAAGAAGGUCUUCGGAUUGUAAAGCACUUUAAGUUGGGAGGAAGGGUUGUAGAUUAAUACUCUGCAAUUUUGACGUUACCGACAGAAUAAGCACCGGCUAACUCUGUGCCAGCCGCCGCAGUAAGAC
rnacentral:rRNA from 1 species